ensembl:piRNA 21ur-2264 ncRNA
UGUUGCUCUUACAUUCGUGAA